GAUUGUUCUUUUGUGAUGCAGCAUCAUAAUAUAGAGAUGGAUUCUGAGUCCCAGCUGUGAUUUUUACUAGAUGUGUGAUCUUGGGACUCUGCAGUUUCCUCUAAAACCUCCUUUCUGUUUGCGGGUGGACUUGAACUCGACAGACGGAGGAACAUCAUGGAGCACAUCCCCUUUGUUAGCAGUCUGAGCUUCAUGGGCCCUGGGCUUAUGGCAUUCCUUCACGGCGGACAUGACAGAAAGAGUUGGACAUGCCAUUUUAGACUGAGCUCUGAAUCUCCAGAUUUUCUGUAGGACCUGGGAGCACAAGCCUCGCUGUCCAGCAGAGCCUAGCAGCAGCUGCAAAGAUCACGGCAACCAGAAAAAGUGGGAAAGCAGAAGCAGAAAAGGAAGUUGUCCAUCCAAGGAGGGCUGGGAGACCCAAACUGUGUAUAAUGUGACCUGACACUCCAGAUCAUCACUUUCCCUUUCUGGAACUUAGACUGUAUCUUGGAGGCUCGAAAAAUCACUGAAAGAUUCCACCUGGCACUGUUUAUGCUGGUUACCUCUGAAGACUGAGACUGCACUUUAGAUUGGAAUUAAGUGCCUGUGCCAGGCUGUUGGCUUUCUCCUGACUUCAGGCUUGCUGCUUUAAUGCUUCAGCGAGCAGAAAAUUGGAGAGUAAGAGCGUCAAUCACUCGGUCCUGCCAAAUGACACCCCCUCAAACCUAAGCGAAAUGUAAUAUUUUGCUUGCUCAGAACAACUCCAAAACCACCUCAGCUGCCUCCAUACCACGGGUUUUGAGGAAGCUGCAAUACAGUCAUUUUGUGUUACCAGAGCAUCUACCCCUUCGUAUGAUUCCUUAAAGCUGCAUUUCUAAAUAGGAUCGUCCAGGUCACAGGUGGCCAAUCAGAUGCAGCCCCUAAGCCCCAAACUGCUGGGCAGUACCGACAUCAGAGCGCUGCUUUCAGGGAGGGUGGAGCAGUGACCAGACAGCAUUAAGGCUGAGCCAGGAAAUUAGUGAGGUGCAAAUUGCACGGCCGUGGCUUCAGGGCAAGAGGAAAAUUGCAAGCCAUCGCCUGGAGAGAAACAGCGGGCUGGUAUUUUGGGGCCUGGCUCCACUGGGCCACUGGGCGUGCUCAUCACUGCCUUAAAACACCGGGGCGCAUGCGCGCACACACACACGCACACACAACCACAGCAACGGCAACAACAACGACAACAUUUUCUUGAAGUACAAUAUAUAAACAGAAAAGUACACAAUCUUAAAGCUCAAUGAACUUGUAUAACCCUAACUGGCAACCUGCACCCUGAUCAAGAAAGAGAACAUCCCCUCCGGUCCCAUCCAGUCACCCCACUCCACGGGGCACUGCUAUUCUGAUUCGGCCCCGUCUUUCCAAUGGAAGCCAAGUGGCAGCUGAAGAGGAGACAGCCUGGUGGAGACUGUCCAGAUUCUUCCCACAACUCCAUUGCUGCAGGCCCAGCCUGGCAGCCUGCUGGGUCCUAGCUAGCCCGGCAGCGCCUGUGGAUCUUGACAGGGCCCGACUGGGAGAGGAGGCGUGGGCAGCACCUGGAGGAGAGGAGGCCUGAAGACGAGAGAGCGGGCAGCGGAGGUGGAGAGCCAAGCCCGCGGGCCGCCGUGCCUGCCCGAGGCCAGAGAAGGGUGCUUCCACAUGAAUUUGGACUCCUUGCCCCGGCCCAGAACCCUCCCGUGCAGCGCCCCCCAACAGAAUUUUAAGAAGAGGAGGGCCAGCGCCCCGGGCUGGGUAGAAGCUCUGGGGUAGCCGAGGAGCGAGAGACGCGAAUGCGUGGGCUCUGGAUGCUGCCAAGUUUCUACCUUUUAAAGGAAGAACCAAGCGCCGACCCUCGGCCUCACCAGAAUGACAAACGCAAAAACAAAAUUUAGCGGCGGAGCAGCUAUCAGGAAAGGGGCUCCGGGGCGAGGAGGCGAAUGUGAGCCCGAGUGCGCCCCGGGGACCCGACACGCCCGGGGAUGUUCGCCGGCGCGCUCGCGUGCCCCCUCCACAGACGCGCUGUUGUUUAUAAACUCUUUUCGGACAUCAGGGCAGCGACGACGCCGUUCGUGUUGGAUGCCUUUUGUCCUGGAAGGGAAGGGCAAACAAACCAGUCUUUGGCAACGCUCAACCUCCCUGUGGCAUUCCGAUUCACGACGGUUUUCAAUGUAAAUGCAUUUCGUAACCUCCAAAGCAACGACUCUGUUUAUUUGUUUUGGUGUAGGAAGGUUAGCAAAAGCGCUGGUGCCGUCCUUCGCGCUUCUCUUUGAUUCUGUCUCAGAUUUACGGGUUUUUACUCGGCGACACGGCCCGGGCCGUCCGCCUGCCCUCCCUUGGACCCGGCAAAGCGAACCCCAGGCCCCGGUCCCCGCUGCAGCUCAGAGGAAGGCGAUUGCAGAACUUAUCAACCCCCUCCCCAGGACCUCGGAUUUCAUCUCUUUCUUUUCCCCCUGCAUGUUCAGUUUGUUUUCUCAAGACCUAAGCAAUUUUUAAUGUACUCUAUACUUCCCGCUUAAUCCUCAUCGUUUAUUGUAUAAUUAUAGUUUCAAAGUGAUUAUGUAAUUAAAAUCAUGUUUCGUUGCAGCAGGACUUCAAAAGGGCGGCAGACCCCCGCUCUGGCAUUAUUU